UUUAUACAACAACCAUCAUAGAAGUGAGCAUAAAAACACCCUAAAUAAUGUUUCAAACUACAAAUGAACUAUACCCUUUCAAUUUAAAGUCCCAGUUACACUCGUCCUCCUUUAUCUGGGC